rnacentral:rRNA from 1 species
GAUGAACGCUAGCUACAGGCUUAACACAUGCAAGUCGAGGGGAAACGGCAUCGGAAGCUUGCUUUUGAUGGGCGUCGACCGGCGCACGGGUGAGUAACGCGUAUCCAACCUGCCCAUCACUUGGGAAUAACCUUGCGAAAGUAAGACUAAUGCCCAAUGACAUCCCACGAAGGCAUCCGAAUGGGAUUAAAGAUUUAUCGGUGAUGGAUGGGGAUGCGUCUGAUUAGCUUGUUGGCGGGGUGACGGCCCACCAAGGCAACGAUCAGUAGGGGUUCUGAGAGGAAGGUCCCCCACAUUGGAACUGAGACACGGUCCAAACUCCUACGGGAGGCAGCAGUGAGGAAUAUUGGUCAAUGGGCGAGAGCCUGAACCAGCCAAGUAGCGUGCAGGAUGACGGCCCUAUGGGUUGUAAACUGCUUUUAUAAGGGAAUAAAGUGGGUCACGUGUGACUUUUUGCAUGUACCUUAUGAAUAAGGACCGGCUAAUUCCGUG